rnacentral:rRNA from 1 species
CAAGGAAUUUUCCGCAAUGGGGGAAACCCUGACGGAGCAACGCCGCGUGCGGGAUGACGCUUUUCGGAGUGUAAACCGCUUUUCUGGGGGAUGAUGGAGGACAGUACCCGAGGAAGAAGGCCCGGCUAACUACGUGCCAGCAGCCGCGGUAAUACGUAGGGGCCGAGCGUUGUCCGGAGUUAUUGGGCGUAAAGCGCGCGCAGGCGGCUUCGCGCGCCCGACGUGAAAGCCCCCGGCUUAACCGGGGAGAGUCGUUGGGGACGGCGGGGCUUGAGGGCGGGAGAGGUCGGUGGAAUUCCCGGUGUAGUGGUGAAAUGCGUAGAGAUCGGGAGGAACACCUGUGGCGAAGGCGGCCGACUGGGCCGACCCUGACGCUGAGGCGCGAAGGCGUGGGGAGCGAACGGGAUUAGAUACCCGGUAGUCCACGCAGUAAACGAUGCAGACUAGGCGUGGGUGGACUUGACCCCAUCCGUGCCGGAGCUAACGCGGGAAGUCUGCCGCCUGGGGAGUACGGCCGCAAGGCU